rnacentral:lncRNA from 1 species
AGGAGGGCCCGGAUGCGGAACCGGAUGUGGCUUACGGCUCCGGUGCCUGGAGCGCUGGGGAAAUGCCAUUCAUUGACAGUCAGCAUGUCAUCCACAAGUAUUUCCUGCCCCGGGCCUAUGCUGUUGCUAUCCCGCUGGCCGCCGGCCUCCUGCUGCUCCUCUUUGUGGGAGUGUUCAUCACCUCCGUGAUGCUGAAGAGCCAGAAGGUGACCAAAAAGGCUCAGUGAGGGCCUGGCCGAUAUAAGGCUGCGGCCCUUUCCGUUUCUUCGCCAGGGCAGACCCAGGCGGGGGGCCCACAGGACCCAUCCAGGCCCUGAGGCCCCCCUCAAGCCCAGCUGCCCUGAAGGCCCCCCCCGGCCCAAGGGGGACGGAGCUGUUCAGGACUCGCCCCCCAACUGCCCAGAGCCCCUCCCCUCCCCUCCUCCCCCUUCCAGAAGCCAGGAGGGAGGCGUCCCUGGAAGUCUCCCUCUCACCCCCUUCUGGCUCAGUGCCCGAAAGAUGCAGCUCAUCGCCCCUGCCCUCCGCCACCUUCGGACUCCCCGGCACUUUUCCCUGCGGGUCUACACUCUUGGCUCACUUCCCCACCUGUCACAUGCUGGUGUUGGACUUGGCAGGUUCUGGGCCAUCACAGGACCUCUCCCCACCAACCCUGCUCCUCCCCAAAGGCUGCUUUCCCAGGUCUGACAUAGGCCCAGGCCCUGCGAGGAUUUCUGGACCUGGAAAGCUUGGGGGGAGGCCUGACAGGCUGCCGGCACAUUAGGGCGGCCACGGUAGGGCCCCCCAUUGACUGCUUCUUGUGGAGGCCCAGCCCCCAGCCCCGUCUGUAGUGGGGGCGGGGGGGGGGUACAACAAUAAACGUUGACGGUGUGUUUGUCUCAGUGCCAUCCUGACCGGGGGAGCUGGGCGGCCCAGGGGCUGGAGAGGGGGCUGGGAGCUGGCUUCUGCCUUGGUCUCAGGUCAGGAGACCCUGGUUUGUGCAAUGAGGGUGCCUCAGGGGCCUCCUGGGGUUGUACAUGGGUCUGGCCUGAUGCUGCUCCCGGGGAGUCCGUGGGGCAUGGCAGUCUGCCAACGCCACAUCACCCUCUCCCCUGCCUCAUCUGUGCCAGCUCAGCCAGCACGGCCUGGUAUUUUAAGGACCCUCAGGCCAGUCCUCUGAAAGCUCAAGCCCAUCAUCUAUCUCUGGUACCCGGCCGCCCAGCUUAGCGUGGCUCUGAGCAGCGAGGGCUGCUGUGAGCCAGAGCAGGGCUGGUUCCACUGUGUUUAGGUUGGCUGGCACAAGCCCCAGCCCCAGUCCCCGGCAGUGGCACCGUGUCCCUCUGGGCAGCCAGCUCUCCUGUCCACAGUGCCUAGUGUAAGCCUUCAUCCCCUCACAUCGUGGACAUUCGUUCUCCCCCGCUUAGCAGAGGGGCCGCCCUCAUCAGAGAAAAGACACCAACUGCCGUUACACCUGCCUGUCCUUCCCUGUUCCUCUCUGCACCCUCCGGGCCAGGCAGAGCUGCUGGCCAGGGCUCUGGGUCCUGUCUCCUCCCACUGCUGUAGCAGGAACCUCAUGUCUUAGGAUCCCUCUCAAGGGAACAGCCUCUUCCUCCCAGCUGGUCUGCUCAGGGUUCGAUGAAUGUGUUACAGGCUCCAUUUAAGGGAUCCCCCCCUCUCUGCCCCAUCAACCCAGUGCUUCCCUCCAGGUCUCUCUCCUUCACAGCCAGGCUUCCCAAAAGGAAGUCCCGGCAUUUGCUCACCUCCACGGUGCUUGGCAGCAUUCUAGGAGGGCCGCACUCAGACCACCUGUGACGUCCAAUCUUUAAAUCCAAAGCAUGUUUCCUUGGCCCCCCUCUGCGAUGUUGGCCAGUGACAUCCCCCGGGUGCACCUUCAGAGGCUGGAUGACCCAUUCUACUUUGUGUGUGUCUCUCCCUCUCACCCAUGCUCGUCUUCUGCCCUGAACAGAGCCUUUUCACCCCACACCUAGAGGUGACCUCAUCCCUAGCCAGGCUCCAGCCCAGCUUUCUCCUGAGCCCCGAUUAUUGCACAUGCACCUGCCACCCACCUGCCAUCCUCACUGGAUGUCAUAGUGGCACCUCAGAUUCAUUCCAUCAUGAUCUGAAUUCUCAGACUCCCCACCUCCCUGCACAAAUCCGGCUCUCCCCUCAUGCCUGCCCCUUCUUGUGACUGGCGUUGUCAUCCAUGUCCCUGACUCCAGCCAGAGCCUGGCAGCCAUAGCUGAACUUGGCUUUCCUCUUCCACCCCGCAUCCGUAUGACCCCCCCCCCCCAAUCCUGUCAGUUCUUC